GAGACCCACGCCCACAGUUGCCAGCGUACUCUUUGGAGUGACGGGUACACUGUGGGGACCGCCGCUGCUAAAGCGGAGGAAGGAAUGGGCAACGGUAGGUCAGUAUGCCCCGAAUAUCCCGGGCUACACGCGAGCUACAAUGGUUGGUACAAUGGGUAUCUACCCCGAAAGGGGACGGAAAUCUCCUAACGCCAAUCUUAGUUCGGAUCGAGGGCUGCAACUCGCCCUCGUGAAGCUGGAAUCCGUAGUAAUCGCACAUCAACAGUGUGCGGUGAAUAC
rnacentral:rRNA from 1 species